rnacentral:rRNA from 1 species
UGGCUCAGAACGAACGCUGGCGGCAGGCUUAACACAUGCAAGUCGAGCGCCCCGCAAGGGGAGCGGCAGACGGGUGAGUAACGCGUGGGAAUCUACCCAUCCCUACGGAACAACUCCGGGAAACUGGAGCUAAUACCGUAUACGCCCUUCGGGGGAAAGAUUUAUCGGGGAUGGAUGAGCCCGCGUUGGAUUAGCUAGUUGGUGGGGUAAAGGCCUACCAAGGCGACGAUCCAUAGCUGGUCUGAGAGGAUGAUCAGCCACAUUGGGACUGAGACACGGCCCAAACUCCUACGGGAGGCAGCAGUGGGGAAUAUUGGACAAUGGGCGCAAGCCUGAUCCAGCCAUGCCGCGUGAGUGAUGAAGGUCUUAGGAUUGUAAAGCUCUUUCACCGGAGAAGAUAA